GACGAACGCUGGCGGCGUGCUUAACACAUGCAAGUCGAACGGAAAGGCCCUGCUUUUGUGGGGUGCUCGAGUGGCGAACGGGUGAGUAACCCGUGAGUAACCUGCCCUGGGCUUUGGGAUAACUUCAGGAAACUGGGGCUAAUACCGGAUAGGAGCUCCUGCUGCAUGGUGGGGGUUGGAAAGUUUCGGCGGUGGGGGCUGGACGCGCGGCUUAUCAGCUUGUUGGUGGGGGAGUGGCUUACCAAGGCUUUGACGGGUAGCCGGCCUGGGAGGGUGACCGGCCACAAUGCGACUGAGAGACGGAGCAGACGCCUACGUUAGGCAGCAGUGGGGAGUAUUGCACAGUGGGCGGAAGUCUGAUACAGCAACGUCGCGUGUGGGAUGACGGCCUUCUUGGUGUAAACCGCUGUCGCCUGUGACCAAGCUUGAGUGACGUUAAUGGGUAAAGAAGCACCGGCUAACUACGUG
rnacentral:rRNA from 1 species